rnacentral:rRNA from 1 species
AUGAACAGGGAUCAGCUCAGGAUGGAAAUUGGGGCCUUUGGCCUUGAAUUGUAAUCUGGAGAUGUACCACCAACUGGGGCGUAGAUGUAAGCCUUUUGGAAAAGAGCAUCAAUGAGGGUGAGAGUCCCGCAUGUCAUCUGCAGUCCCCAGUGCACGGUGUACCUUCUAAGAGUCACGUUCCUCGGGAUUGGAGCGCAAAUUGGGUGGUAAAUUUCAUCUAAAGCUAAAUAUUGCUUCGAGACCGAUAGCAAACAAGUACCAUGACGGAAAGGUGAAAAGGACUUGAGAA